rnacentral:rRNA from 1 species
UACGAAGGGUGCUAGCGUUGUUCGGAAUCACUGGGCGUAAAGCGCGCGUAGGCGGCUAUUCAAGUCAGGGGUGAAAUCCUGGGGCUUAACCCCAGAACUGCCUUUGAAACUGUAUAGCUUGAGUGUCGGAGGGGAUAGCGGAAUUGCUAAUGUAGAGGUGAAAUUCGUAGAUAUUAGCAGGAACACCGGUGGCGAAGGCGGCUAUCUGGACGACAACUGACGCUGAGGCGCGAAAGCGUGGGGAUCAAACAGG